AGUGAACGCUGGCGGUAGGCCUAACACAUGCAAGUCGAACGGCAGCACAGUAAGAGCUUGCUCUUACGGGUGGCGAGUGGCGGACGGGUGAGGAAUACAUCGGAAUCUACUUUUUCGUGGGGGAUAACGUAGGGAAACUUACGCUAAUACCGCAUAUGACCUACGGGUGAAAGCAGGGGAUCUUCGGACCUUGCGCGAUUGAAUGAGCCGAUGUCGGAUUAGCUAGUUGGCUGGGUAAAGGCCCACCAAGGCGACGAUCCGUAGCUGGUCUGAGAGGAUGAUCAGCCACACUGGAACUGAGACACGGUCCAGACUCCUACGGGAGGCAGCAGUGGGGAAUAUUGGGCAAUGGGCGCAAGCCUGAUCCAGCCAUACCGCGUGGGUGAAGAAGGCCUUCGGGUUGUAAAGCCCUUUUGUUGGGAAAGAAAAGCAGCAGGUUAAUACCCCGCUGUUCUGACGGUACCCAAAGAAUAAGCACCGGCUAACUUCGUG
rnacentral:rRNA from 1 species